UGUAAAACGGCCGAGGAAUAGGUGACGCUCGUUCUCAUACUACGCUUAGUUCGUCUGGAAGCCCGUCACCGGGAUGAGCAAAGGAAGCAGGAAGGAUUUUCAUCUGACCAUGGCCUCUGAGUUCCAAGAAGAUGUUUGGGCCAGACUACAGGUUUUUUCUGUUGAUGGACAAGAACAUGUGCUGACUGAGAGAAGAGGGUGGGACUCAGGCAAAACUGGCAUUACAUUUGACAACUGUGCAAAGGAAUGAACUGCUCAAAUGGGCUCUCCUUCCAUCACACCCCUGGUAUUGAAAAAGGAACCAGGACUAACAGCUGCAGCGUUUCCUGAAUUAGGUGGCCCAGAUCAAGGCUAACUCCAGGGUGCAGCCUAUCUCGGUGCACAUUCUCAAGAUGAAGAUUGCGUGUGCUCUUCUUCAAAGAACAGAGGUUGUCCUCAACAUAUUUCUCCCAUUAGCCUCUGCCCUGUGGGAAGAUAAUACUCUGGAAAUUGUGGAUGCACAGAGAGUUGACAAACUACUCUCUGCAAGAAAAGAAAAUGCCACCAAGGCUGGACAUGUGGGGUGGAUUCCUUGCCAUCCAGGGAAUGGCUCUGUGCUUUUUCUGUAAGAUACUGAGGCAGCAGGUGGGAAAGAGAGUUGCAGCAUUGCUGAUCAUAAGUCUGUACUGUAUUCAACAGUGGAGCCAUUUUUCUCUA